CACGCUGUAAACGAUGAUAACUGGGUUUUUAGGAUUUACUUCUAAGAGCCUGAGGGAAACCAUUAAGUUAUCCACCUGGGGAGUACGUUCGCAAGUAUGAAACUCAAAGGAAUUGACGGGGGCCCGCACAAGCGGAGGAACAUGUGGUUUAAUUCGAUGAUACGCGAGGAACCUUACCCGGGUUUAAAUGUAGAUUGCAUAAAGUAGAAAUAUUUUUUUCCUUCACAGGACUAUUUACAAGGUGC
rnacentral:rRNA from 1 species